CCUGGGCCCCUGGGAGUGCAGAGAUGCCUGGGUGUGCAGCUGCAGCUUGGGUGGCUGCAGCUGCGGCUUGGGUGGCUGCAGCUGCAGCUUGGGUGGCUGCAGCUAUGCCUGGAGCUCAUGCCUGCUCCCACUCCUCAAGAGCACAGGGAUGUCCAGGCUUGGAGCCAUGGCUGGGCAGCUGCAGCUGCGCCCAGGGAGCAUGAGGCUCCUGCCCUGCCAACUCAGGAGCGGGCUGGCCUUCCACCUGUUUCUGGCUCCCUCCGGCUCCAUGGAGCAUGCAACCCUGGCCACACCUCCCCAGUGAAGCCAGUGUCAUGGCAGCAGCCACUCUAGAUGGGCCAUGGCUGCCAUCAUUAGGGCUUUACUAUACACAUGUUAAAAAGUAAUUAAACGUGGUUUCUACCCUCCUGACAUUAAAAACUGAUCAAUUCCAGAUGGAUUAUAGAUAUAGUUGUGGAAGACAAAACAAUCAAACUUUUAGAAAAAAGUCAAAGACAUUAUUUUCAGGUUUUCCAAGUUGGGAAAUGUGAUACAAAACUAUUCAGUUUAAAUAAAAAAUCAAUACCUUUAACUAUUAAAAUUGAGGACUGCUAUUUAUCCAAAGAUACAAUGAAGAGACUGAAAGGCAAAGAUUAAAAAAAGACUAAAGAUUUAAAAAAUUAAAUAUGUAUACACACAUGAAUGGAAUAUGUGAAAAAGUCUCCAAGUAAAGAAAAAAGGACAAUUCACUAGAAAUAGAAGAAAAGUCUUAAACAGUCUCAUCCCAAAGAAGAUAUCCUAAUGAACAGUGGACAUGAACAGGGGCUCAACUUCGUUAAUUAUCUCUCAUUCUCAAGGAAAAGCAAAUUAGACUGUGAAUAAAAUCUCCAUGUACCCACUAGGAUGACUACAAUUCAAAAGGCUGACCUAUCCAGGUGAAGAUGAGAGUGUGCAGCAUUGGAAAUUCUUACACAUUGCUGGAGAUUUAGAAGCUAAAGAAAGAGGACAAAUGAUUUGGAAGCAAAGAUAAGAAGGAAGAAGGAGAUGGGGUCUCGCCAUGUUUCCCAGGCUGGUCUCAAACUCCUAGAUUCAAGCGAUCCACCUGCCUUGGCCUCCCAAAGUGCUGGCAUUAUAGGCAUGAGGCACCAUGCCAGGCCUGUUUUGAAAUUUCAUACAUAUUUAUAAAACAUAUUUUCAGGAUGAGAGAAUAUACGAAGAAGUUACAUAGCAUUGUGUAUCUGUAUAGAAUAAAAAUGAUCUAAAUCAAUGUCAUCAGACCAUGGCUUUAUAGACACCAUCUUCUAGUCAAAUCACUCAUCUGUUUUUACCCAGUACUCAUACUGUGGGAAAAGUGUAGGGGCACAGAACAGUGAACACUUUCGGGAAUGUUGGAAUCAUUCUGUAUUAGAAUUUUAUUCUUAUAAAAAAUGUUGGUGAAUCAGUCUGGAUUAGGUCAUGGAAACAACACACCAUCAAUCAUCACGGAAAGAAGGUGUUUCAUGUGGGAAUUUUAAGAAUAUAGGACAAACAGGAUGUGGGAGAGAUGGGGUUUCAAGGUCUGAUAAGGGAAUAUUUGGUGGGAUAAAGAAAUAGUGACGAAGCACUUCAGCCUGAAGAGACUUCUUAGAAACCUAUCAGGCCCAUAUUUCCUUCUCCCAAAAGGCAAAAAUAGUACUUAAGUUAUCCUCACCAGGAGAUUUGGCUACAGAAAUGAAUAACCCAAUUUUUAAUCUAUUCAGCUAGUCUCACCACUGCUACCCAAAGAGCUACCUGAGAGUCUUGGAGACACAACUGAACACCAAUGAUAAUCUCUUAGAUUAUAGCUGGGGAUAUUACCAAAGAUGUGAUUUACCCAGAAGGAUUAACUCUAGUGAAGCAGCUAGAUCAGGAAGGUUACUGGGGUCCGAGUUUGGACUAUGCCCUGCUUGGAAUGAGAAUAUGGUCAGAAAUCUUGUACUGUUAAUAGAAUGACUGCUCCACUGGCCAAACCAUCAGAGCACAGCAGAAGUCCCAAACUCCCUUGCUCAUGUGGUCCUAGACAACUACAUUGUUUUUGACUGUCUUCUUGCUGUACAGGGUGAUGUUUGUGCUGUUGCUAACAUUUGCUGCUGCACCUGGGUAAAUACAUCUAGUUAGAUUGAAUUGGACACAUCUAAGAUCCUAAAGUUAGCUAAAUCUCUGAAUGGGACACCUUCAAAAAGCCUCCUGGCUGGACUUCCUGGCUUGAAUUUACAAUUUCCAGAUAUUUUCAGCUGGCUUUUGUCUCUAGUCUAGGAUACCUUCUGUGUUCCAUCCUACAGAUCUUAAUGAUCCUUCUAUUUGGGCUAAUCAUUUGGGUACUCUUUUGAAUUGUUCUAGCCUGUUUUUUUUGUUUGUUUGUUUUGUUUUGUUUGGAGAUGGAGUUUCACACUUGUUGCCCAGGCUGGAGUGCAAUGGUGGGAUCUCGGCUCACUGCAACCUCCACCUCCUUGGUUCAAGCGAUUCUCCUGCCUCAGCCUCCCGAGUAGCUGGGAUUACAGGCACGCACCACCACACCCGGCUAGUUUUGUAUUUUUAGUAGAGAUGCAUUUUCUUCAUGUUGCUCAGGCUGGUCUCAAACUCCUGACCUCAGGUGAUCCGCCCACUUCGGCCUCCCAGUGUGCUGAGAUUACAGGUGUGAGCCACUGCGCCCAGCUCUUCUAGCCUGUUUUAACAGAUAUCUGCAAGAGGCUUGGAUCAUGCUGACCUAACCCAGGAAAUUUUAAAUUUACUCCAGACAGGAACCAGAAUCAACAUAACCUACGAGACUUUGAUUAGAAUCUAACAGGUACCUGAGUGCCUUUUGUAAGUAAAUGGCUCUAGUUGCUCAAUUGGCCACUGCUCUGCCACCAGGAUCCCUAGAAGAGACCAGAUAAACCUGAAGCACGUAGCUAAUCACUUCCAUGCCGUGAUGGAAUGCAGUGCUGUCUGCCAACAAGUUUGAGCCAGUCUUUCAAGAUGCAUCCUGAGUGGCUAACUGGGCCUGCAUUUCAAGUUGAGCCAAGGGACCAUUUGCUAACGAGGGGACACACACAUGUUCUGAGUUCACCCAAAACACAUACCUUAUUAUUUUGGGGCUUUUCAGCCCACCUGCCUCUGCUAAUCAGGGCUCAGCUGUAUUGACCCAUUAGAACUCAGCUGGGUUGACCAAUCAGAACUAAGUGAGUUUGGAGUUUUAAUUCUCAAUUGAAUGAACAGACCUGAUUGGGAACCUGCGUGGGAACUUUGGCUAUUAAACCUGAGCAUUCUUUCUGUUCUCUGGAAGAAAUAAUGUUUAAGUUGCUAACACUUUAUGCAUUUUCCUAAAAUUGAAUCAAACAACUCCUUUUGAAACAUAACCCUGAUAUCAGGGAAGUCGUACAACACCGUGCUAAAUAAUUUUAUACCUCUAACCAAGGUCUGUGCCCUAAUCAGCAGGAAGUGCCAGAGUGUCUGUCACCCAUUCUCCCUCAAGAUUGAGAAAUGAACAAUGAAAAAAGGGGGAUUUGAAAAUGCAGAACCAGCCCAAUGUGGUUCAAGUUUGUGUAAUAAAAUAAUGCGUUGUUUUACUGUUGCCACGGUCUCCUGGUUUCAAGUUAUGUUACCUGAGCAUGCCCAGACACACUCUGCAUGCAACCACGGUGGAACCUAAGUACUUGGACCAAGGAGCAGGGCUGAUUUAAGAAGGAGACACCUCAGGGCUUAAUCUGUGAUCUGAUCAGAUCCAGCCCUGACAUCACCUCAUGGCACGAUGCAGUCAGAUCUUACCUCAUUACCCUCUGUCUAUAAAACCUGCCCCAACCCCCAGAUCUGAGAGACAAAUUUUUAGAUAUGCUUUCCCCCAUCUCCUUCCUAGUUGAAUAAAAAUAAACCUUUCCCUCUACAAAACCCUUGUGCUUCCUUGUUUGGCUUUCCAUUGCAAUCAGGCAAACGGCCUGCAUUGCUUUAGGUAACUGACACUCCCAAGACUCAAGGAGCUGCCGCGCAGCACUAUUUUGAAAGCCCAGCCCCCAUCAGACUGUAUCUUGCUCUGGGGCCCAACAGCCCCAGCAUCUCCACUUCCCUGGAGCCCUGCGGACAUCUCUUCAUUUCCACCCAGAGGGCUGCAACUUUGUCCCGUGGGCUGAAUCCAGUGGUGCAGUAAGGAACAGGCAGUGCACCACACCAGGGAGACUGCCCCCAGGACAAAGGGAGCCCAAAUGCACACUCCUCAGUUUCUGAAAGCCACUUGCCCGGGGCCACUGCCACCGACAGCAACCCUCUCAACUUUCCACCCGAAGCAGGGCCACCAAGCAUCUGCAUGUGCCUCCCAUGGUCCUGGAGCUGGUCUGCCCAGACGCAGUUCUGUGUCCUGAGGACAGGCUCUCACACCACCCGUCACGCAAACAUGGUGCCCAGGGCCUGGGGAUCAUGCUGCCUCAACUGUAGCUGCGGGCGUGUGCCCACAACAUCAGGAAGUGUGACAGCAGGCCCAGGUCACCUGCCACUGGCACCCAAGCAUGCCAUCCAGGAGCUUGGUGAUUGUUCGGCCACACUCGCCAUAGCCUGCACCCUUGCACGCCAUUGGAGGGCCUAAGGACGGGAAAGCAACAUGCCUCCCUGGAGAGAGCUUGAUUCUGUUCUGGCAUAUGUUAGAGAAAAGUACUAAACCAAGUCAGAUGGUUUGGAAUGUGGUCUAAUUUUUUAUUUUUUUUUAGACGGAGUCUCGCUCUGUCGCCCAGGCUGGAGUACAGUGGCGCGAUCUCGGCUCACUGCAAGCUCCGCCUCCUAGGUUCACGCCAUUCUCCUGCCUCAGCCUCCAGAGUAGCUGGGACUACAGGCGCCCGCCACAACGCCCGGCUAAUUUUUUGUAUUUUUAGUAGAGACAGGGUUUCACCGUGUUAACCAGGAUGCUCUCCAUCUCCUGACCUCAUGAUCCGUCCUCCUCGGUCUCCCAAAGUGCUGGGAUUACAGGCGUGAGCCACAGCGCCUGGCCAGAAUAUGGUCUAAAUAUUAAUACUACCAAACUGGGGAGGAAGUAACUUAAUUUUGCUGAUUUUUCAUUUUCUUAUACUUUAUUGGUUUACAAAGAAACCAUUAUUUGCUUUUAAUGGCAGAGUUAUUCUUUUCUACUGUGAAGUUACUUCAACUCAUAAAAAUGUAUUUUAUUUACACCUUUGUAGCAAUGGAGCUUGGAAGAAAAUAUAAAGCAUAUCUACAUGAACAUUUCAUCUAGUAUUCUGUGUUCUCACCUGGUCUUCUAUAAAGUUUCAGUUCAAGUGAAGAAACAGUGCUUGGCAGCACCAUGCUCUAUUGUGAAAGGAGGCAUUUGCCGUGUGAUUGGAUCACAGGUAGUUCAAGGUAACAAAAGGCCUCAAAGCAAUUAGGAAAGACAGGAUUAUUAAUGUGGAUUUAAUGGCAUUAGCUGCUUCCUUGCUUUUUUCUCACUGUGUUAUUUUGAAUAACCGCAUAGUUUUUUCAAGAUUGUAAUAUAUAUAGUCUAAUCCAUAUGAUUUUUAUACAUGUGAGUAACACAAUGCAGGUAUAUAAAACUCUGACCAAUGUUUCUGUAAAACAGAGUUCUGCAAACUAUGGCUUAUGGGUGCCAUCCUGUUAUUGAAAGUAAAAAUUGAUUGGAACAUAGCCACACCUAUUGGUUUAUGUAUUUUCUAUGGCUGUGUUUGCACUACAUGCAGAGCUGAGUAAUUCAGACAGAGACUGUAUGACCUGCAAAGCCAUAAAUCGUUACUAUCUGGUAUUUUACAGAAAAGAUUACCAGCCAUUGCCAUAAAGAGUAAAACCUUAUUUUCUGAUAAAAAUAACUGCAAAAAAGAAAAUCAGAAAUAAGAAGCCUAGUGAAAUACAUUGUAUUUUCAGUUCAAAAAUAAUUUUUAAUUGCUAUAAGAAACAUCAACCACUUUCCUAGGACUUUUCACACAUAAGACAAAG
rnacentral:lncRNA from 1 species